GCGGUAGUAGCUCAGUUGGCAGAGCGUCGGCUUCCCAAGCCGAAGGUCACGGGUUCGACCCCCGCCUACCGCUCAA
rnacentral:tRNA from 1 species